ACUCAAAUGAAUAGACGGGGACCCGCACAAGCGGUGGAUGAUGUGGUUUAAUUCGAUGCAACGCGAAAAACCUUACCCACCUUUGACAUGUAUGGAAGAUCGCAGAGACGUGAUUGUGCUCGAAAGAGAGCCAUAACACAGGUGCUGCAUGGCUGUCGUCAGCUCGUGUCGUGAGAUGUUGGGUUAAGUCCCGCAACGAGCGCAACCCUUGUCAUUAGUUGCUACAUUCAGUUGGGCACUCUAAUGAGACUGCCGGUGACAAACCGGAGGAAGGUGGGGAUGACGUCAAGUCCUCAUGGCCCUUAUAGGUGGGGCUACACACGUCAUACAAUGGCUGGUACAAAGGGUUGCCAACCCGCGAGGGGGAGCUAAUCCCAUAAAGCCAGUCGUAGUCCGGAUCGUAGUCUGCAACUCGACUACGUGAAGUCGGAAUCGCUAGUAAUCGUGGAUCAGAAUGUCACGGUGAAUACGUUCCCGGGUCUUGCACACACCGCCCGU
rnacentral:rRNA from 1 species